GCGCCGGGAUGCGCUCUCCUCUUCUCAUUUGCCAAUUUAUUGCAGAUCCCUCCUCAAAAAAGUUUUGGGACUAACUCAGCCCCAUGGAGAUCAAGGUGAAUUAGAAAAACAACAAAACAAAACAAGAUUCAUUUUAACAUCUCAUUUUUCUAUCUCCAACUUUCCCUCCCCUCCUCCCACCCCAGGAAGAAAAGACUACGUUUGUUUCUGGUGAUACAUUCAUUGUAGGUGGGUGGGUGACUUCUAGAAGAGGAAAAUCAAGAAGAUUUGGAGAAGGAGUCUUGGAAGCUCUGGUGAAGUUUUCCAAAACUGGGAAGGACAGAGGAUGCCCACUGGAUCCAAAGAGAGAAACUCUAUAGAAUUAUGAUCUAGGUUUGACUGACUCCUGGCAAGAAGCCCUACCCGCCAGCCAAUUUGGAUGAGGUCACAGGGGUCAUCCAUCUUUCCUUCUAUGUGACUGGUUUGCUCUUGCAUAUCAUGUUUUCCGCUCUUAUGCUCCAGAUCCAUCAUGAGAAGAACAUGCCCUGGAUUCCUGCUAUCCCUUUAGCCAUGGCUCCAAAAUUAACACACACAAGGAAGACCUGAGGUCAAUCCACAGCCUGGAUUCAAGUCACCUAAUACAUAGGAGAAUCAGAGCUACCCAGCCACACUCAAUCUACGUUAACUGAACCUCAGCUGACCUGCAGAUUUAUGAGUAUGAGA
rnacentral:lncRNA from 1 species